rnacentral:rRNA from 1 species
UGGGGAAUCUUGCACAAUGGGCGAAAGCCUGAUGCAGCAACGCCGCGUGCGGGAAGACAGCCCUAGGGUUGUAAACCGCUUUCAGCAGGGAAGAAACUGACGGUACCUGCAGAAGAAGAUGCGGCCAACUACGUGCCAGCAGCCGCGGUGACACGUAGGCAUCAAGCGUUAUCCGGAUUUAUUGGGCGUAAAGAGCUCGUAGGCGGUUCGGUAAGUCGGGUGUGAAAACUCUGGGCUCAACCCAGAGAGGCCACUCGAUACUGCUGUGACUAGAGUGCGGUAGGGGAGCGGGGAAUUCCUGGUGUAGCGGUGAAAUGCGCAGAUAUCAGGAGGAACACCAGUGGCGAAGGCGCCGCUCUGGGCCGUAACUGACGCUGAGGAGCGAAAGCAUGGGUAGCAAACAGGAUUAGAUACCCUGGUAGUCCAUGCCGUAAACGUUGGGCACUAGGUGUGGGUCUCAACCGAACGAGAUCCGCGCCGUCGCUAACGCAUU